AGAGAGAUUUUCUUCUUGGAUUAAAUUCUUUUGGGCUUGAGAGCCAAGGGUUCUACAUCAAAGAAUCUUUAUUGUCCAUACGAUAAAAAUAUGCUGAAAAGCAGAACAAUGUUCUAAAUUAACCUUGAUGUGUGUUCUUUGGGUCGUAGAUGGGCCAGAUUAGAAUUAAGAAGCGAAAUUAUCACCAUAUUGUUCUUGGCUUCUAACUCUUUUGAUGAAAUAUCACUUUUCAUUUUUAAAAUCCUAUCAACAUGUCAUGCACAAGUUUGCAUGUUUCGACUACUGCUACAAUAAUGAUGCUGAGAAACU
rnacentral:misc_RNA from 1 species